CCCCCACUCCCUCUCACAAUUCAAUCUGCCUCUUGGACACUGUGCUCAGAGGGGCUGAUUAACAGCUGACUCAGCUGCACUUCCCAAGCUUCAGAAAAAGAUCUGCAGCCCAGAGAAGGGCUCAUCCGCAGGAUGGACGUAUCACUCUGGACCUUCUGAUCAGGACUGAAACAGGACUUCCCACCUAACUGACCCAGAUAGCACCAGAAACGACCAUUGUCAGUGACCUGCCCAGCUUAUUCAGGCCAAGCAGGGGGAAGACGUCACACUCUCUGUGAACUCUCCCCCAAGAUGGACACUCGGGACAUGACUGUGAACUGGUUCAGAAACCAGACCCUCGUGUACAGGUACCCGAAUGGGGAGAGCUUGGAGGAAUCCCAGGGCACUUAGUUCCAGGGGAGGACGGAGCUGCCCAAACAUGACAUGGCUGAGGAGGCGAUCUUGAGGAUCCAGCAGGUCCAGGUCUCUGACUCUGGUCCAUAUACUUGCCAUUUCCAGUCACCUGGCUGGAAUAAUGAAGCCUGCAUUGAACUACAGGUAGCAGCUUCUUGGAGCCAGAGGUGAAAUUUGGGUGAACCAGGUGGACACCAAAGGUGGAUAAGCAGCCCUGAGUAGGGAUCAACAGCCUUCACUCCAGGGGUACUAUUCUUCCCUGAAAACAACCUAUAUCCCCUCAGGAAGGGUUAUUGUUGUUUGUCCUUCAUUCUCCAAGAGACCAAAACAUCAGGGAGGUGGGGCCAGGAUAUGUAAGUGAAUUGGAUUUAAGUGAGGAAAGACUGUACAAAGUCACCAGCCUCACUUUCUCUUCCAGAACCAUCU